rnacentral:rRNA from 1 species
GAUGAACGCUGGCGGCGUGCCUAAUACAUGUAAGUCGAGCGAAGCGGGGCCGGGUGAGUAACACGUGGAUAACCUCCUAUAAGACUGGGAUAACUUCGGGAAACCGGAGCUAAACCGGAUACUUAUAAAUGGAUCCGCGAUGCAUUAGCUAGUUGGUAAGGUAACGGAUUACCAAGGCAACGAUGCAUAGCGGACCUGAGCGGGUAUUCGGCCACACUAGAACUGAGACACAGUCCAGACUCCUACGGGAGGGAGCAGUAGAGAAUUUUCCGAGAUGGGCAAAAGCCUGACGAAUCAAAGCAACGUAAGUGAUGAAGGGAUUAGAAUCGUAAAAAUCUGUUAUUAGGGAAGCGGUACCUAAUCAGAAAGCCACGGCUAACUACGUGCAAGCAGCCGCGGUAAUAC